rnacentral:rRNA from 1 species
UACGGAGGGUGCAAGCGUUGCUCGGAAUUAUUGGGCGUAAAGGGCAGGUAGGUGGUCUUAUUUGUCUUGUGUGAAAUCCUUGGGCUUAACUCAAGAAGUGCGCAAGAAACGGUAAGACUAGAGUCCUAGAGAGGCUAGUGGAAUUCCCGGUGUAGCGGUGAAAUGCGUAGAGAUCGGGAAGAACAUCGGUGGCGAAAGCGCUCUACUGGACCGCAACUGACACUCAGGGACGAAAGCUAGGGGAGCGAAUGGG